UACAGAAGCCUCAAGCGUUGUUCGGAAUUACUGGGCGUAAAGGGAAUGUAGGCGGUCGCGUAAGUCAGAUGUGAAAGCCCUGGGCUUAACCCGGGAAGGGCAUUUGAUACUGCGUGGCUUGAGUGCGAUAGAGGAAAGUGGAAUUCCAGGUGUAGGGGUGAAAUCCGUAGAUAUCUGGAGGAAUACCAAUGGCGAAAGCAGCUUUCUGGCUCGCAACUGACGCUGAGAUUCGAAAGCAUGGGUAGCAAACAGG
rnacentral:rRNA from 1 species